ACAGCAAUUAAAGCAGUCAGUGUCUUUGUAAGUUUGUUUCAUUUCUGAUGUUUGAUUUAAAUGUAUAUAGUGAUUGUGUAGUUUGUAUAUUGUGUAUAUAUCAGCUGCAGUGAUGUUGAAUAAGAUGAAUGAUGAGAUUGUUGUGAUUUUUACUGCAUCUCACACGUCUGCUGCUGAAAUCAUGUUGAAAUGGUGUGAAUGCUGCAGGGCAGAAGAGUGCUGGAGCUGCAGUGUGUUUUCUCUGUGUUUGUGAAUGUGUUGUGUUUGUCUCCUGCAGCUGGUCCCACAGUGAAGCCCUCAGUGUCUCUGCUGCCGCCGUCUUCUCUGCAGAUCUCUGGAGACUCAGCCGCACUGCUCUGUCUGCUCAGCUCUUACUCUCCACAGGGGGCGCUGGUGAGCUGGACACUGGACGGCUCAGAGGUCACCGAGGGGGUUGUGACCAGCGCAGAGAGCGAGCAGGACGGCCGCUACAGCCGCAGUAGUGUCCUGACCCUCAGCAAAGCACGCUGGGAAGAGGGAGAGCUGUACGUCUGCAGAGUAACACAUGAUGGAGCUCCUCAUGAAGCCUCGUUCCACAAGAGUCGCUGUUAGUCACUCGCAGAGCUGAUGUUUCUCCAGUGAGCGCUGCUCUCUCCUGAAGAUGAACGUAUCUGAGUGUCCUGUGUCGGGCAGAAUUCACAUGAGUCUAGUGCUGCAGCUGUAGUCAUUUACAAAUCAAUACUGAAAGAGAGCUCUAGUGUCAAAGCACUGACUGAUCUUUCAAUCUGCUGUGUUUGCUGCAACAUUCAAUAAAGCUUCUCAACAAACUC